AUUGAACGCUGGCGGCAGGCCUAACACAUGCAAGUCGAGCGAGCGGCGGACGGGUGAGUAAUGCAUGGGGAUCUGCCAGAUAGAGGGGGAUACCUACUGGAAACUGUGGCUAAUACCGCGUACUAUCGGAUUAACCCAUGUGGGAUUAGCUAGUUGGUGGGGUAAAGGGUCACCUAGGCGACGAGCUCUAGCUGGUCUGAGAGGAUGAUCAGCCACACUGGGACUGAGACACGGCCCAGACUCCGACGGGAGGCAGCAGUGGGGAAUAUUGCACAAUGGGCGCAAGCCUGAUGCAGCCAUGCCGCGUGUAUGAAGAAGGCCUUAGGGUUGUAAAGUACUUUCAGCGGGGAGGCGUUACCCGCAGAAGAAGCACCGGCUAACUCCGUGCCAGCAGCCGCGGUAAUUC
rnacentral:rRNA from 1 species